CGGGGGAGCAAGCGUUGUUCGGAUUUACUGGGCGUAAAGGGCGCGUAGGCGGCCACCGCAAGUCGACUGUGAAAUCUCUGGGCUUAACCCAGAACGGUCAGCCGAUACUGCGGGGCUAGAGUGCAGAAGGGGCAACUGGAAUUCUCGGUGUAGCGGUGAAAUGCGUAGAUAUCGAGAGGAACACCUGCGGCGAAGGCGGGUUGCUGGGCUGACACUGACGCUGAGGCGCGAAAGCUAGGGGAGCGAACGGGAUUAGAUACCCCGGUAGUCCUAGCCUUAAACGAUGAAUGCUUGGUGUCUGGGGUUUUAUAGUCCCCGGGUGCCGUCGCUAACGCUUUAAGCAUUCCGCCCGGGGAGUACGGUCGCAAGACUG
rnacentral:rRNA from 1 species